CGGUGUUGCCAUGGCUACAUGCGCCGCGCUCUGCGCGGGCCGGUGUGAGCUUCUGGGGCGGGCAGCGGGCUCCGGAAGUGUGCAGCUACCCGGGACCAUGGCAGUGCUUGCUGCUGGGGCUGGCGGCUUGCUCGCCUGGGCGACUAGUUCUGGCCUGGUCAGUCGGCGGCCGACAUCCUGUCUGGGGCGGCGUCCCACAGACGGUAAACGUACCUUCUGUGUGAUGUCAACCCUCCAGAGGGCUUCAGCCUCCGUAGAAGCGUCUGUAUCCACAUCGCCUUCCUCCUGAAGACCCUGCUGAAAAUGAAGGAAUCGGUGCUGGUGAUACCCCCUUGGGGCCUCCUCUACCAUUGGCAGAGCCUGGACAUCCACCAGGUCCGGAUUCCCUGGUCUGACUUUUUUGAUCUCUCAAGUCUCAACAGAAACAUCCCUGAACCUGAGUACGAACCGUUCAUUGCAGUUUUUCUCAGGAAAUAGAUCUGAAGUGUAUGAGAUCUGUGUUCCCUCCGCUCUGAAAAUCCUGGCCUCCUGGUGAGAUGGAGCGGUGACAAGAAGGCCACUGCCACACAGGCCUUGUCUAAGGAGGACUCGCUCCCUGGACAGUAAGGGCCAUUCUUACCUGAAGGAAAACACGAUGUGUGUGUAGCAUGGGCCACGUGCUGGAGAAGAGAGUGAGAAUCACCUCUGAAGGCGGAGGAAGAAAGUUGGAGGUGCGGGGCACAAAGUCUUUUGUCCUUUUGCUACUGAAAAAAUGAUUGCUUUUGUAAUUAGUGAUGAUGCCCUUUAAAUUGGUGAGAUCGAGAUUCUACAGCUUCAGCGCCUGUGAAUAACCAGCCGGGAGAAAGCUCUCCAGGGCCCCUGCAGUGGGAAAGGCAGCCCCUCUGAGCACCUGUUGUUCUGUAUUCUUCCUGACUCCACAUGGGUUUGCUACGCACCGCACCGUGCAGGACGAUGCAGUUACCCUAGGUGGAGGACAGGGAGACCCCUGCUGUGUGGCGAGCCACAGGAGCCCACAUUUGAAGGACAAAAUGAAGAGUAGUGGGGCGGGCAUAGGAGGAGAGGAUGGUUGAGACCCAGGAUGGUGUCCUGGAGUCCAGCAGGCGAGGCUGGCGGGGCAGAUGGGGCCCUGGGGCAUGGGCAGUCCUUGAGGGAUCUGAAGCAAAGAUAUGAACCAAGAGACUGGAUUCGUGUGGGCGUACAGCGCCCCCUGGAGGCCGCGGGGCAGUGCAGCAAGCCCAGGAGGAGCGGGCAGUUCCCCAGAUUUGGGUUGACAGGUCACAACCAAUUCACUGGGGACCGAGAGGUACCGAGAUAUUGUUAACUUUUUGUCCCUCUUCCUGGAAAAAAGCUGCUUCCUGUUGAAUAGCCUGUGUCGUUAGUGAGAAUUAAAGACAUGAAGCAACAUUUCCUCAAAUGUCAUCCAUUGUGUAGUUGUUAAUAAGGGUCAAAUGCAGACUUGAAUAGACUAAAUCAAAUAUUCAUCAUCGGAUUUUAAAAUCCUUUAAAAUAAAAAUUCUUGCUGUCUUUGUUCUUCAUUUCAGGGUUCACUUGGUGAUAAUAAUAGUAAACAAAGCAACAGCAAACCCUUACAGAACUCUGUCCUGCUGUUCCAGGAACUCUGUGUU